AAAUUGAAGAGUUUGAUCAUGGCUCAGAUUGAACGCUGGCGGCAGGCCUAACACAUGCAAGUCGAACGGUAACAGGAAGAAGCUUGCUUCUUUGCUGACGAGUGGCGGACGGGUGAGUAAUGUCUGGGAAACUGCCUGAUGGAGGGGGAUAACUACUGGAAACGGUAGCUAAUACCGCAUAAUGUCGCAAGACCAAAGAGGGGGACCUUCAGGCCUCUUGCCAUCGGAUGUGCCCAGAUGGGAUUAGCUAGUAGGUGGGGUAACGGCUCACCUA
rnacentral:rRNA from 1 species